CCACCCUGUGAUUUCAAACGUUUCUUAUGUUUGUAACUGAGUUCAUUUCAUUUUAAAUCAUUCAACCAAUUUGUUUAGCAGAUUCUGAAGAAAAAUGGCAAAAACGUUUUGUGUCCGUUUGCAUCAGUUUUAGUGGGCCUUUAUUUUGAAGAGCAACAGCUGAUUACGUUAAUGCUCAGGCUGAUUUCACUCGUGACAGAUAUGAAAGGAUGUCCUAUAAAGUUUUAGAUUAGUCAUAUUGUGUGAAUGUCGGGACUUUGUGGGGAUUUGUUUCCUGGACACGUUUCGAUAAGGUAUAAAUGAGGUUUCCUUGAGAGAUUUUGGUACUUUGGACUUUAGAAGUUCUGGUGAUGGAAACUUGCACGCUGAACAGCGAGGAUCCACAAGACACAGUGAUUCCAAUGGACCAGCAAACGUCUGUUAUUAUCUUGCUCAAACACUUUCAGGAGAUGAAACGACAAGAGAAUCGUUUGCGUCUAUUAAUGUUCUCUCUGAUUCUGAGUUUUGCAUCUGUGUUUUUAAUUACGCACCACGUGAUAAAAGACAGCAUUGAGAAGGCUACACUCAAACCCACAGAAUUCGCAAGACAGCAGGCUAAAGAUCCAGAGCAGCAUCUGAUGUCUCAAAAUCAGAGCAAGCCAAGCAUUCACCUGACAAGUAAGUAAUUGAAUAAAGCUAUGAGUCAUUAAAUUAGUUCAUACUUGUGUCAACCUGUGCAUCAGU
rnacentral:lncRNA from 1 species